UUAAGUUAGAAAGGGCGCACGGUGGAUGCCUUGACACUAGGAGUCGAUGAAGGACGGGACUAACGCCGAUAUGCUUCGGGGAGCUGUAAGUAAGCUUUGAUCCGAAGAUUUCCGAAUGGGGAAACCCACCAUACGUAAUGGUAUGGUAUCCUUAUCUGAAUACAUAGGGUAAGGAAGACAGACCCAGGGAACUGAAACAUCUAAGUACCUGGAGGAAGAGAAAGCAAAUGCGAUUUCCUGAGUAGCGGCGAGCGAAACGGAACAUAGCCCAAACCAAGAGGCUUGCCUCUUGGGGUUGUAGGACAUUCUAUACGGAGUUACAAAGGAACGAGGUAGACGAAGCGACCUGGAAAGGUCCGUCGUAGAGGGUAACAACCCCGUAGUCGAAACUUCGUUCUCUCUUGAAUGUAUCCUGAGUACGGCGGAACACGUGAAAUUCCGUCGGAAUCUGGGAGGACCAUCUCCCAAGGCUAAAUACUCCCUAGUGAUCGAUAGUGAACCAGUACCGUGAGGGAAAGGUGAAAAGCACCCCGGAAGGGGAGUGAAAGAGAUCCUGAAACCGUGUGCCUACAAAUAGUCAGAGCCCGUUAAUGGGUGAUGGUGUGCCUUUUGUAGAAUGAACCGGCGAGUUACGAUCCCGUGCGAGGUUAAGCUGAAGAGGCGGAGCCGCAGCGAAAGCGAGUCUGAAUAGGGCGUUUAGUACGUGGUCGUAGACCCGAAACCAGGUGAUCUACCCAUGUCCAGGGUGAAGUUCAGGUAACACUGAAUGGAGGCCCGAACCCACGCACGUUGAAAAGUGCGGGGAUGAGGUGUGGGUAGCGGAGAAAUUCCAAUCGAACCUGGAGAUAGCUGGUUCUCCCCGAAAUAGCUUUAGGGCUAGCCUUAAGUGUAAGAGUCUUGGAGGUAGAGCACUGAUUGGACUAGGGGUCCUCAUCGGAUUACCGAAUUCAGUCAAACUCCGAAUGCCAAUGACUUAUCCUUAGGAGUCAGACUGCGAGUGAUAAGAUCCGUAGUCAAAAGGGAAACAGCCCAGACCGCCAGCUAAGGUCCCAAAGUGUGUAUUAAGUGGAAAAGGAUGUGGAGUUGCUUAGACAACUAGGAUGUUGGCUUAGAAGCAGCCACCAUUUAAAGAGUGCGUAAUAGCUCACUAGUCGAGUGACUCUGCGCCGAAAAUGUACCGGGGCUAAAUACACCACCGAAGCUGCGGAUUGAUACCAAUGGUAUCAGUGGUAGGGGAGCGUUCUAAGGACAGUGAAGUCAGACCGGAAGGACUGGUGGAGUGCUUAGAAGUGAGAAUGCCGGUAUGAGUAGCGAAAGACGGGUGAGAAUCCCGUCCACCGAAUGCCUAAGGUUUCCUGAGGAAGGCUCGUCCGCUCAGGGUUAGUCAGGACCUAAGCCGAGGCCGACAGGCGUAGGCGAUGGACAACAGGUUGAUAUUCCUGUACCACCUCUUUAUCGUUUGAGCAAUGGAGGGACGCAGAAGGAUAGAAGAAGCGUGCGAUUGGUUGUGCACGUCCAAGCAGUUAGGCUGAUAAGUAGGCAAAUCCGCUUAUCGUGAAGGCUGAGCUGUGAUGGGGAAGCUCCUUAUGGAGCGAAGUCUUUGAUUCCCCGCUGCCAAGAAAAGCUUCUAGCGAGAUAAAAGGUGCCUGUACCGCAAACCGACACAGGUAGGCGAGGAGAGAAUCCUAAGGUGUGCGAGAGAACUCUGGUUAAGGAACUCGGCAAAAUGACCCCGUAACUUCGGGAGAAGGGGUGCUUUCUUAACGGAAAGCCGCAGUGAAUAGGCCCAAGCGACUGUUUAGCAAAAACACAGCUCUCUGCGAAGCCGUAAGGCGAAGUAUAGGGGGUGACACCUGCCCGGUGCUGGAAGGUUAAGGAGAGGGGUUAGCGUAAGCGAAGCUCUGAACUGAAGCCCCAGUAAACGGCGGCCGUAACUAUAACGGUCCUAAGGUAGCGAAAUUCCUUGUCGGGUAAGUUCCGACCCGCACGAAAGGUGUAACGAUUUGGGCACUGUCUCAACCAGAGACUCGGUGAAAUUAUAGUACCUGUGAAGAUGCAGGUUACCCGCGACAGGACGGAAAGACCCCGUGGAGCUUUACUGUAGCCUGAUAUUGAAUUUUGGUACAGUUUGUACAGGAUAGGCGGGAGCCUUUGAAACCGGAGCGCUAGCUUCGGUGGAGGCGCUGGUGGGAUACCGCCCUGACUGUAUUGAAAUUCUAACCUACGGGUCUUAUCGACCCGGGAGACAGUGUCAGGUGGGCAGUUUGACUGGGGCGGUCGCCUCCUAAAGUGUAACGGAGGCGCCCAAAGGUUCCCUCAGAAUGGUUGGAAAUCAUUCGUAGAGUGCAAAGGCAUAAGGGAGCUUGACUGCGAGACCUACAAGUCGAGCAGGGACGAAAGUCGGGCUUAGUGAUCCGGUGGUUCCGCAUGGAAGGGCCAUCGCUCAACGGAUAAAAGCUACCCCGGGGAUAACAGGCUUAUCUCCCCCAAGAGUCCACAUCGACGGGGAGGUUUGGCACCUCGAUGUCGGCUCAUCGCAUCCUGGGGCUGUAGUCGGUCCCAAGGGUUGGGCUGUUCGCCCAUUAAAGCGGUACGCGAGCUGGGUUCAGAACGUCGUGAGACAGUUCGGUCCCUAUCCGUCGUGGGCGUAGGAAAUUUGAGAGGAGCUGUCCUUAGUACGAGAGGACCGGGAUGGACGCACCGCUGGUGUACCAGUUGUUCUGCCAAGGGCAUAGCUGGGUAGCUAUGUGCGGAAGGGAUAAGUGCUGAAAGCAUCUAAGCAUGAAGCCCCCCUCAAGAUGAGAUUUCCCAUAGCGUAAGCUAGUAAGAUCCCUGAAAGAUGAUCAGGUUGAUAGGUUCGAGGUGGAAGCAUGGUGACAUGUGGAGCUGACGAAUACUAAUAGAUCGAGGACUUAACCAU
rnacentral:rRNA from 2 species